rnacentral:rRNA from 1 species
GAUGAACGCUGGCGGCGUGCCUAAUACAUGCAAGUCGAGCGAACAGACGAGGAGCUUGCUCCUCUGACGUUAGCGGCGGACGGGUGAGUAACACGUGGAUAACCUACCUAUAAGACUGGGAUAACUUCGGGAAACCGGAGCUAAUACCGGAUAAUAUAUUGAACCGCAUGGUUCAAUAGUGAAAGACGGUUUUGCUGUCACUUAUAGAUGGAUCCGCGCCGCAUUAGCUAGUUGGUAAGGUAACGGCUUACCAAGGCAAUGAUGCGUAGCCGACCUGAGAGGGUGAUCGGCCACACUGGAACUGAGCCACGGUCCAGACUCCUACGGGAGGCAGCAGUAGGGAAUCUUCCGCAAUGGGCGAAAGCCUGACGGAGCAACGCCGCGUGAGUGAUGAAGGUCUUCGGAUCGUAAAACUCUGUUAUUAGGGAAGAACAAAUGUGUAAGUAACUAUGCACGUCUUGACGGUACCUAAUCAGAAAGCCACGGCUAACUACGUG